rnacentral:lncRNA from 1 species
GUAAAUGAAAGAUGACUCGCGGGGGAUAAAUUGCUUGACAAAAGCAAUUAUCCAAGAGAUAUAUCACCGGUUACUGGGUGGUAUACUUGAAAGUGGAGGAAUAUCAAUACCGAAUAUUUGAUAAAGAUAACCAACAAAGAGGGGAUUACAUCUUCCGGUUACUGGGUAGAAAACCACAGAAAUAGGACUUACAACUACCGAUUACUGGGUAGAAAGCCACAAAAAUAAGACUUACAACUACCGGUUACUGAGUGGAAGGCCACAGAAAUAGGACUUACA